GUGGUAUCUUGUGGGGCAGGCUGUGCUCAUCACUGGAUCUCCACAACCUCUGUCCUCUCCACCUGAGCCUCUUCACCUUCUGUGGGACACCUAUUAGAAGGAGCCUGUCUAGGGAGUUCCUGCUGUGGUGCAGUGGAAAUGAAUCCAGCUAGUAUCCAUGAGGACUUGGGUUCAAUCCAUGGCCUCCCUCAGUGGGUCAGGGAUUGUGUGUUGCUGUGAGCUGUGGUGUAGUUUGAAGAUGUGGCUCAGAUCUGGCAUUGGUGUGGCUGUGGUGUAGGCUGACAGUUGCAGUUCCAAUUCGACCCCUAGCCUGGGAACCUCCAUAUGCCCUGGGUGCGGCCCUGAAAAGGAAAAAAAAAAAAAAAAAGAACCUGUCUAAAUCCAUGUAGGGAUUGCUUCUAAUUCCAAGCUGAGUCCUGGGGAGGAAAGCUGCUGAUUCAAAGCCUGCUCUCCUGACUUAAAUUGCAGGUUGCUGAUUUCAGAGAGUGGGAUGAAGUCGGGUGGGGUGACUGCCCUGGCUGGCUUUGAGAUAUUCACACCCCCACCCAUCGUGCAUUGCAGCGCGCUGAGAGGGAGAGGGGUAAGAAAAUCACGCUGGCAAGUGUCCCAGGCCAGUGCAGAUUAAGGUUCCGCUGUGGGAGGCCCCAAAUGACUGGGAGUUGCAAUUAGAGCACAUGUCCACAAGAUGGCACCAGAGCGCCAGCAGAGCCCUGCUGCAGCUCCAAGGCUGCAUCUCCAGGCUCAGAUACAGGGUGGAAAAUGAUUGGUGGAGACCAGAUAUUUCCAUUUAGAUACAUGUUGCCUCAAACCCUAUGGUUCAGUGUGCCUCAACUCAGAGGAUUUAGGCUCUGACAUCACAUCUCUGCUUCAGUCUCUACAUGAUCAGGUGCCCCAAUGGCCUGAGUGCCUUUAGCUGAUUUGAAGUAGCACACUGGACCCAGAAAUACCUGGCUUAAAUCUUGGGGUGCAGUUUUUUAGUUCAGGCUGGUAUGAUAUUUGGCUUCUGGAAAGCUGGGCUUUGGGUCAUGAAUUCAGCCCAUCAAUGCAGUAGUAUUUUGGGGGGGGUGGAGUUUCUCAUCAUCCCUGUGCUCUUUCUGUCCAGAGGUCUCCACAUCCUCCUCCUCCCUACUCUACCUGAGCUUCUUCCUCAUCUGCGGGACCCUGUGCCAAGGAACCUACCCAAAUCCAGGGAUUGGGUUGGUGUCGGAUGGGGUGAAUGUCCUGGCGACUUUGAGACAGUCCUACCUGCAAGGUAAAGGAGUUAGGAAAUCAUACUGGUAAGUACCCUGGGCCAGUGCAGAGCAGGCUUCUGCUCUGGGAAGCAGAUGAAGGGCUUGG
rnacentral:lncRNA from 1 species